rnacentral:rRNA from 1 species
GACGAACGCUGGCGGCGUGCUUAACACAUGCAAGUCGAACGGAAAGGCCCUGCUUUUGUGGGGUGCUCGAGUGGCGAACGGGUGAGUAACACGUGAGUAACCUGCCCUUGACUUUGGGAUAACUUCAGGAAACUGGGGCUAAUACCGGAUAGGAGCUCCUGCUGCAUGGUGGGGGUUGGAAAGUUUCGGCGGUUGGGGAUGGACUCGCGGCUUAUCAGCUUGUUGGUGGGGUAGUGGCUUACCAAGGCUUUGACGGGUAGCCGGCCUGAGAGGGUGACCGGCCACAUUGGGACUGAGAUACGGCCCACACUCCUACGGGAGGCAGCAGUGGGGAAUAUUGCACAAUGGGCGGAAGCCUGAUGCAGCAACGCCGCGUGCGGGAUGACGGCCUUCGGGUUGUAAACCGCUUUCGCCUGUGACGAAGCGUGAGUGACGGUAAUGGGUAAAGAAGCACCGGCUAACUACGUG